ensembl:rRNA 5S_rRNA 5S ribosomal RNA
GACUAUAGCCAUACCACCCUGAAUGUGCCCGAUCUCAUCUGAUCUUGGAAGCUAAGCAGGGUUGGGCCUGGUGAGUACUUGGAUGGGAGACAAGCUACGAAGACCAGGUGCUGUAGGUA